rnacentral:piRNA from 1 species
AGGUGGCAAGCAUCGCCUUUUGAGGACAGA